CAGAAUUCAUCAUGAUCUCACCCCAACUUGGACUCUCUCACUGAUUAUUUGAUGACAGUAAAACACCUGAUAUACUG